rnacentral:tRNA from 1 species
AAUUUUAUAGUUAAUGUAUUAUAACAUUAGAAUGCAAUUCUAAAAUAAUAAAAAUUUAUUAAAAUUU